rnacentral:rRNA from 1 species
UACGAAGGGGGCGAGCGUUGUUCGGAAUUACUGGGCGUAAAGGGCGCGUAGGCGGCGACCCAAGUCAGAUGUGAAAGUCCUGGGCUUAACCUGGGGACUGCAUUUGAUACUGGGUUGCUUGAAUUCGGGAGAGGAUAGCGGAAUUCCCAGUGUAGAGGUGAAAUUCGUAGAUAUUCGGAAGAACACCAGUGGCGAAGGCGGCUCACUGGACCGGUAUUGACGCUGAGGUGCGAAAGCGUGGGGAGCAAACAGG